AUUGAACGCUGGCGGCAGGCCUAACACAUGCAAGUCGAGCGGAGCGGCGGACGGGUGAGUGAUGCCUAGGAAUCUGCCUGGUAGUGGGGGAUAACGUCCUGAAACGGGCGCUAAUACCGCAUACUAUCAGAUGAGCCUAGGUCGGAUUAGUUAGUUGGUGGGGUAAAGGCUUACCAAGGCGACGAUCCGUAACUGGUCUGAGAGGAUGAUCAGUCACACUGGAACUGAGACACGGUCCAGACUCCUACGGGAGGCAGCAGUGGGGAAUAUUGGACAAUGGGCGAAAGCCUGAUGCAGCCAUGCCGCGUGUGUGAAGAAGGUCUUCGGAUUGUAAAGCACUUUAAGUCGGGAGGCGUUACCGACAGAAUAAGCACCGGCUAACUUCGUGCCAGCAGCCGCGGUAAUAC
rnacentral:rRNA from 1 species